CGAAAACCUUACCCUGUUCUGACAUCCUGUGAACUUUCUAGAGAUAGAUUGGUGCCUUCGGGAACACAGUGACAGGUGCUGCAUGGCUGUCGUCAGCUCGUGUCGUGAGAUGUUGGGUUAAGUCCCCGUAACGAGCGCAACCCUUGUCCUUAUUUGCCAGCACGUAAUGGUGGGAACUCUAAGGAGACUGCCGGUGACAAACCGGAGGAAGGUGGGGACGACGUCAAGCCAUCAUGGCCCUUAUGACCAGGGCUACACACGUGCUACAGUGGGGCGUACAGAGGGUUGCUAAGCCGCGAGGUGGAGCCAAUCCCAGAAAACGUUUCGUAGUCCGGAUCGAAGUCUGCAACUCGACUUCGUGAAGUCGGAAUCGCUAGUAAUCGCGAAUCAGCAUGUCGCGGUGAAUACGUUCCCGGGCCUU
rnacentral:rRNA from 1 species